UACGUAGGGCGCAAGCGUUGUCCGGAAUUAUUGGGCGUAAAGAGCUCGUAGGUGGCUUGUCACGUCGGGUGUGAAAGCUUGGGGCUUAACUCCAGGUCUGCAUUCGAUACGGGCUGGCUAGAGGUAGGUAGGGGAGACUGGAAUUCCUGGUGUAGCGGUGAAAUGCGCAGAUAUCAGGAGGAACACCGAUGGCGAAGGCAGGUCUCUGGGACGUGACUGACGCUGAGACGCGAAAGCGUGGGGAGCAAACAGG
rnacentral:rRNA from 1 species